rnacentral:lncRNA from 1 species
UAAAAUUUUUUUUUGUGUCAGUUAAUUGCUACGUAUCUUGGGCUGUCAUGGAUGACACAGUACUAUUUGAAAUAGAAAUUCUGGAGCCAUUAUCUGAUCAAGACUCUUCUGUUACUAGUGACGGUCAAAUUAAAUAAUUAUUAUUCAGCUUCAGUACACAGUGGAUGGAAAAGUUCUUCAUGACCUUCAGUUAAUGAAAUAUAAACCACUUCCUCAUUAAGGUGUACAUUUUCAAUUGGCACUUGUUCGGGCUCUUGUACCAUUUCUUGAAAUGCUGCAUGUAGUUAAUAACAAUUGUCAUAACAUAUAAAUAAAUUAUACUUCAUAAUUUGUA